UACAGAGGGUGCGAGCGUUAAUCGGAAUUACUGGGCGUAAAGCGUGCGUAGACGGUAGCGUAAGUCAGAUGUGAAAGCCCCGGGCUCAACCUGGGAAUUGCAUUUGAGACUGCUCUGCUCGGGUGCGGAAGAGGGAAGCGGAAUUCCGGUGUAGCGGUGAAAUGCGUAGAUAUCAGGAGGAACACCUGCGGUGUAGACGGCUUUCUGGACCAUUGCUGACGCUGAGACACGAAAGCGUGGGUAGCAAACAGG
rnacentral:rRNA from 1 species